rnacentral:rRNA from 1 species
CAGCAGCCGCGGUAAUACAGAGGGUGCGAGCGUUAAUCGGAUUUACUGGGCGUAAAGCGUGCGUAGGCGGCUAAUUGAGUCGGAUGUGAAAUCCCCGAGCUUAACUUGGGAAUUGCAUUUGAUACUGGUUAGCUAGAGUGUGGGAGAGGAUGGUAGAAUUCCAGGUGUAGCGGUGAAAUGCGUAGAGAUCUGGAGGAAUACCGAUGGCGAAGGCAGCCAUCUGGCCUAACACUGACGCUGAGGUACGAAAGCAUGGGGAGCAAACAGGAUUAGAUACCCGCGUAGUCCCUGUCUCUUAUAA